rnacentral:misc_RNA from 1 species
UGAGUGUGAUGGAUGAGCUACCCCAGACAUUCAAACUGGAUUCUGAUUAGAGUAUGUACAUGAUUGGUCGGUCACAUUUACAUGUUCUUUUGUACAUGUCGACUAGCUCAGUUAGUGGAAGUUCAUUUUCUUUUCUCCAUCCAUAUCUUGUCAAAAUCUCCACCUGACCCUUUCACUAUCCCCCAGCCCCUCCUUUCAUGUCUAUCUCCUCCAUAUGCUGUGAGGUACAAGCUGUACUAUGUCCUGGGUAACGUCUAAG